rnacentral:rRNA from 1 species
AAAACUCCGGUGGUACGGGAUGGACCCGCGUCCGAUUAGCCAGUUGGCGGGGUAACGGCCCACCAAAGCGACGAUCGGUAGCCGGCCUGAGAGGGUGGACGGCCACAUUGGGACUGAGACACGGCCCAAACUCCUACGGGAGGCAGCAGUGGGGAAUAUUGCACAAUGGGGGAAACCCUGAUGCAGCGACGCCGCGUGAGUGAAGAAGCAUUUCGGUGCGUAAAGCUCUGUCAGCAGGGAAGAAAGAGAGACGGUACCUGACCAAGAAGCCCCGGCUAACUACGUGCCAGCAGCCGCGGUAAUACGUAGGGGGCAAGCGUUAUCCGGAUUUACUGGGUGUAAAGGGAGCGUAGACGGCAGGGCAAGUCUGGAGUGAAAGGCCGGGGCCCAACCCCGGGACUGCUCUGGAAACUGUCCGGCUGGAGUACAGGAGAGGUAAGUGGAAUUCCUAGUGUAGCGGUGAAAUGCGUAGAUAUUAGGAGGAACACCAGCGGCGAAGGCGGCUUACUGGACUGUAACUGACGUUGAGGCUCGAAAGCGUGGGGAGCAAACAGGAUUAGAUACCCUGGUAGUCCACGCCGUAAACGAUGAUCACUAGGUGUCGGGGGUUAACGGACUCCCGGUGCCGGAGCAAACGCAUUAAGUGAUCCACCUGGGGAGUACGUUCGCAAGAAUGAAACUUAAAGGAAUUGACGG